GACGAACGCUGGCGGCGUGCCUAAUACAUGCAAGUAGAACGCUGAAGAGAGGAGCUUGCUCUUCUUGGAUGAGUUGCGAACGGGUGAGUAACGCGUAGGUAACCUGCCUUGUAGCGGGGGAUAACUAUUGGAAACGAUAGCUAAUACCGCAUAACAAUGGAUGACCCAUGUCAUUUAUUUGAAAGGGGCAAAUGCUCCACUACAAGAUGGACCUGCGUUGUAUUAGCUAGUAGGUGAGGUAACGGCUCACCUAGGCGACGAUACAUAGCCGACCUGAGAGGGUGAUCGGCCACACUGGGACUGAGACACGGCCCAGACUCCUACGGGAGGCAGCAGUAGGGAAUCUUCGGCAAUGGGGGCAACCCUGACCGAGCAACGCCGCGUGAGUGAAGAAGGUUUUCGGAUCGUAAAGCUCUGUUGUAAGUCAAGAACGAGUGUGAGAGUGGAAAGUUCACACUGUGACGGUAGCUUACCAGAAAGGGACGGCUAACUACGUG
rnacentral:rRNA from 1 species